CCUACGGGAGGCAGCAGUGGGGAAUAUUGCACAAUGGGGGAAACCCUGAUGCAGCGACGCCGCGUGGAGGAAGAAGGUCUUCGGAUUGUAAACUCCUGUUGUUGGGGAAGAUAAUGACGGUACCCAACAAGGAAGUGACGGCUAACUACGUGCCAGCAGCCGCGGUAAAACGUAGGUCACAAGCGUUGUCCGGAAUUACUGGGUGUAAAGGGAGCGCAGGCGGGAAGACAAGUUGGAAGUGAAGUCUAUGGGCUCAACCCAUAAACUGCUUUCAAAACUGUUUUUCUUGAGUAGUGCAGAGGUAGGCGGAAUUCCCGGUGUAGCGGUGGAAUGCGUAGAUAUCGGGAGGAACACCAGUGGCGAAGGCGGCCUACUGGGCACCAACUGACGCUGAGGCUCGAAAGUGUGGGU
rnacentral:rRNA from 1 species